rnacentral:rRNA from 1 species
UACGUAGGGCGCAAGCGUUGUCCGGAAUUAUUGGGCGUAAAGAGCUCGUAGGCGGCCUGUUGCGUCCGCUGUGAAAUCCCGGGGCUCAACCCCGGGCGUGCAGUGGAUACGGGCUGGCUGGAGGCAGGCAGGGGAGAACGGAAUUCCUGGUGUAGCGGUGAAAUGCGCAGAUAUCAGGAGGAACACCGGUGGCGAAGGCGGGUCUCUGGGCCGUAACUGACGCUGAGGAGCGAAAGCGUGGGGAGCGAACAGG